rnacentral:rRNA from 1 species
AAUACGAGACGCUAACGCGUCGAAGUAGUGUAUGUCAUACUUCCAAGAAAAGCUUGCACUGUCAUAGAUAAAAAACGCCUGUACCAUAACCGACACAGGUGGGUAGGUAGAGUAUACUAAGGGGCGCGAGAUAACUCUCUCUAAGGAACUCGGCAAAAUGACUCCGUAACUUCGGGAGAAGGAGUGCCUUAUUCUUAAGGUUGCAAUAACAAGAUCCAAGCAACUGUUUAUCAAAAACACAGGUCUCCGCUAAGUCGUAAGGCGAUGUAUGGGGGCUGACGCCUGCCCAGUGCCAGAAGGUUAAAGAAGUUGGUUAGCAUUUGCGAAGCUGAUAACUGAAGCCCUGGUGAACGGCGGCCGUAACGAUAACGGUCCUAAGGUAGCGAAAUUCCUUGUCGGGUAAGUUCCGACCCGCACGAAAGGCGUAAUGAUUUGGAUACUGUCUCGGAGAGGGGCUCGGUGAAAUAGACUUGUCUGUGAAGAUGCGGACUACCUGCACCAGGACAGAAAGACCCUAUGAAGCUUUACUGUAACUUGAAAUUGAAAUUGGACUUUAUUCGCGCAGUAUAGGUGGGAGGCGUUGAUUAUAAUCUUGCGGGAUUAUUGGAGCCAUCAGUGAGAUACCACCCUUGUAAUGUUAGAUUUCUAACUUUGAAUCAUUAUCUGGUCAAAGAACAGUUUUAGGCGGGCAGUUUGACUGGGGCGGUCGCCUCCUAAACGGUAACGGAGGCGUACAAAGGUUUCCUCUGAACGGUUAGAAUCGUAUCUAGAGUGUAAAGGCAUAAGGAAGCUUGACUGUGAGACCUACAAGUCGAGCAGGGACGAAAGUCGGUCUUAGUGAUCUGACGGUACUGAGUGGAAAGGCCGUCACUCAACGGAUAAAAGUUACUCUAGGAACAGGCUGAUCUCCCCCAAGAGUUCACAUCGACGGGGAGGUUUGGCACCUCGAUGUCGGCUCAUCGCAUCCUGGGGCGGUAGUACGUCCCAAGGGUUGGGCUGUUCGCCCAUGAAAGCGGUACGCGAGCUGGGUUCAGAACGUCGUGAGACAGUUCGGUCCAUAUCCGGUGUAGGCGUUAGAAUAUUGAGAGGAGCCUUCUUUAGUACGAGAGGACCGAGAAGGACAUACCUCUGGUGUACCAGUUAUCGUGCCAACGGUAAACGCUGGGUAGCUAUGUAUGGAGUGGAUAACCGCUGAAAGCAUCUAAGUGGGAAGCCCACCUCAAGAUAAG